AUUGAACGCUGGCGGCAGGCCUAACACAUGCAAGUCGAGCGGAGCGGCGGACGGGUGAGUAAUGCCUAGGAAUCUGCCUGGUAGUGGGGGAUAAAGUCCGGCUACGGGCGCUAAUAACGCAUAUUCUCAGUUGAGCCAAGAUGGGAUUAGCUAGUUGGUGGGGUAAAGGCCUACCAAGGCGACGAUCCGUAACUGGUCUGAGAGGAUGAUCAGUCACACUGGAACUGAGACACGGUCCAGACUCCGACGGGAGGCAGCAGUGGGGAAUAUUGCACAAUGGGCGCAAGCCUGAUGCAGCCAUGCCGCGUGUAUGAAGAAGGCCGUCGGGUUGUAAAGUACUUUCAGCGGGGAGGCGUUACCCGCAGAAGAAGCACCGGCUAACUCCGUGCCAGCAGCCGCGGUAAUUC
rnacentral:rRNA from 1 species